UACAGAGGGGGGCAAGCGUUGUUCGGAAUUACUGGGCGUAAAGGGCGCGUAGGCGGCCUGUUAAGUCGAACGUGAAAUCCCCGGGCUCAACCCGGGAACUGCGUCCGAUACUGGCAGGCUUGAAUUCGGGAGAGGGAUGCGGAAUUCCAGGUGUAGCGGUGAAAUGCGUAGAUAUCUGGAGGAACACCGGUGGCGAAGGCGGCAUCCUGGACCGAGAUUGACGCUGAGGCGCGAAAGCCAGGGGAGCAAACGGGG
rnacentral:rRNA from 1 species